GGCCUGCACGUCGGUCGCACAUCACCAGCGAACUGAUAAACGUGCAGUAUAAAGAAACGCUUCAUGAAACGCCACAUGGUUCUAAGCUAACGCCUCUGCUAAGCUACACCAGGGUGCUGGAGGAAACAUCCCACUUAUUGAAGUGGAGUUUUUGGUUUGGCUUUUUAGACAAACAAAAUAACACGCAAGACUCGUUCUCCAAACUCCGAGUGAGCGGUGAUGUUGCAGAAGCUUCUCCUCUGUGUGAGCAGCUAAGGAGCUGCAGAAACAUGGCUGCCUCCAAACGCCCUGCUGCUGUGAUUUAGAGCCAGAUGAGAGAGGAGGACGCAGGAGGCCCUGGAUGAAGGAAUGCUUCCACCCUUCCUGAUGUUAACUGCCCCACUGGGAGGAACACCAGCAGGGACCUCUAAGGAUGCGACACUGCAGAGCUUUCACUCAAAACCCCCACGUCAGGUCAUACUUUUUAGAGGUGCUCUAAAUCAGUGGCGCACAACCUCCGAGUCAUUCGUGUGCAAAAUAUAAAAAAUGUUUUGAAUUUGGAAAAAUGGCGGCAUCCUCUCCCAAUUACAUGUGCUUGGUCCUGUUUUUGGUCUGACGCUUUACUGCUUGGUUGUACAAUGUUUUCAUUAUAAUCCUACAAACAACGUAACAGCUUUUGCCUGGUCAGCGUCAGCCAGAACUAUUGCUGUUUGCUUGGGGGUUCAAAUACUUAUUUUCUGCAUCAAAUGCAAAUAAAGUCAGAAAUGUUAUAA
ensembl:lncRNA